UACGAAGGGGGCUAGCGUUGCUCGGAAUCACUGGGCGUAAAGGGCGGGUAGGCGGCCACCGCAAGUCGACUGUGAAAUCUCCGGGCUUAACUCGGAAAGGUCAACUGAUACUGCGGGGCUAGAGUGCAGAAGGGGCAACCGGAAUUCCCGGUGUAGCGGUGAAAUGCGCAGAUAUCGGGAGGAACACCAAUGGCGAAGGCAGCUCGCUGGGACGGUACUGACGCUGAGACGCGAAAGCGUGGGGAGCAAACAGG
rnacentral:rRNA from 1 species